rnacentral:rRNA from 1 species
UAAGACUGGGAUAACUCCGGGAAGCCGGGGCUAAUACCGGAUAACUCAGUUCCUCGCAUGAGGAACGGUUGAAAGGUGGCUUUUUGCUACCACUUACAGAUGGACCCGCGGCGCAUUAGCUAGUUGGUGAGGUAACGGCUCACCAAGGCGACGAUGCGUAGCCGACCUGAGAGGGUGAUCGGCCACACUGGGACUGAGACACGGCCCAGACUCCUACGGGAGGCAGCAGUAGGGAAUCUUCCGCAAUGGACGAAAGUCUGACGGAGCAACGCCGCGUGAGUGAAGAAGGUUUUCGGAUCGUAAAACUCUGUUGUUAGGGAAGAACAAGUGCCGUUCAAAUAGGGCGGCACCUUGACGGUACCUAACCAGAAAGCCACGGCUAG